GCCAGGUGUGGUGACGCACACCUGUAGUCCCAGCUACUCGGGAGGCUGAGGCAGAAGAAUUGCUUGAACCUGGGAGGUGGAGUGUGCAGUGAGCCGAGAUCACCCCAGUGCACUCCAGCCUGGGUGACAGAGCGAGACUCUGUCUCAA
rnacentral:SRP_RNA from 1 species